rnacentral:lncRNA from 1 species
GUCCAGCGGCGAUCACUGAUCACUGCGCAAAAAAAAAUUUAUUCAUGGAACAAAACAAACGAUUGAGAAACAAAGAGCCUCCAGCUCAAAGGGAUUUAGUGGAGAGGAGCUCCACCUUCCCCCCCUUGUGAUCAACGAAGAGCGUGUCACAGAUUGGAUUUGCGCCACGGAUCUGCUCACGCACGACAAUGACAGAGCUAGUGAGCUCCAUGAGCUCCCACGCAGCGACGACCAGAGAUGGAGUGCAUGCGCCGAGAAGGGCUCUCAGCUCGCCCUCAGUGAUCCGGUUGAAACCGCCGCAAACUCCUGAGCAGGCAAGAAAGAUAGUGAGCGACGAUCGGGCGCAGAGAAAGAGGAGAGAUCUGCAAAACAGACAGAAAGAUCCAGCCUCCAGAGAUAAUUUGCAAAACAAGAAGAUUGAGCAAGACCGGCACGGCGCGGGAGAGAAAGAUUGCCAGACUGAACAACAAAGAGAAAGGGCAGGACGCGAAGAGAUGAAGACGAGGAUGAGAAGAGACAAGAGACGAAGAGACGAUCGCGCGCGAGCAUGAGAGAGAGAGAGAGAUGACCCUGAAGAGCAUUGUCCGCCAGAGCUCCGGUAGAACCCGCUAGAGCUGUGCUACAACAAAGAGGUGUGAGGGCAAGGAGAGAGAGAGGAAACCUUUCUCCUCGAUGUUCGCCAUAUCUCGUGUAAGACUCGGUAUUAGACGGGGGAGAAAGCCUUCGCGCUCUAGCUAAUAUAUAUAGGCCUUCAUGUAGCAGCUGGAUCGGCCCGGUGGGAGAAUCUGAGAAUCUUCAUAGUAAUUACCUGUACGAGAUUACCAUUAAGCGUGAUGGUUACUUGCGGUGCGUCUUGGGAGCGAGACAAUCGUGAGUCGCUAUCCCGCUCGAUGGUUACUUGAUACGGUGCCACAUCAUCCCUCACGCGUAAAUUUUAAUAAAAAAAUGUAUAGUCAAACUCAAGAAAUUAUCUAAUUAUGUUUUCUUGAUUUCAUCAUUCUACCUUCUCAUCUGCUACUACUUAUUUGAAAAAGACCCGUAAUAUAAUAUUUUAAAAAGAUUAGGCUGGACAUUGAGAUUACUUUGUCAAACUAGAGACUAGUGAUUUACAAGAUUAAAGACCAUAUAAUGAUCUUUAAACUAUGUAGAGACAGUGCCAACUUCAGAGUUCAUGUCACAAACACCAACACCUCUACAUAGCCUAAAGUAGCCAUUUUCACCAAAUUCAUCAGUCCAAGUAUUCUUGAAGGUCCAAUAACGCAAACCAUUCUCUACGCCAUAGCCAACAAGCAGCACACCAUGGUUUAUCUCCCCAGGGCAAAUGCGCGGGCAAGCAACCCCACCCUCGUAAGUAAAUAAAACAUUUCCUCUUAACGCAACUGCAAAAACACCUGAUUGUCAGCCUUUUUCUAGACCAUAAAAGAUACUUACUUGACAAUGGCCCAUUUUUCACCAGAUUGGCAGCGAUUUGGUCCUCAUCCUCAGACACCCUUGAGUAGUUUGCAAUGGUGGCAACCACCUUGCUUGGCUGGUAACGGCACGGACCACGGACGGGUUUGUGUCUGUAGCCAAGUUCUUCAUAAGGGUAAUCUUCCUCAGCCUCAAGACCCCUGGCUUUUACAUACUCGUAUGCACUUAGCAUGUCGCCACCCUCGCAGCCGUUAUCCUGCAGAACAAAUAUUAUAUAACAUCAACUUCAAGGGACCGUCACGUACCUUGUAAUCACAAUCUAUCAACUGCUCCUCACUUAGGCUAAUGAGUUUUCCAGUCUUUAGAAAGUUGGCGCCUUCCACUACUCCGGUGGUGCUAAAAGUCCAACAAGAUCCGCAGCGUCCCUACAAGUAAGUUUCAAGCUUGUUUAAUGAAAACCUAUGAUCAAAUCGACAUGCGCUAAGAGAAAACCUGGAACUUGACAGGGGUCACUGCACCAUGCUCCCUCCAAUCAAACGCCUCCGGCAAGUUGUCUGUGGGAAGAAGAGGAGCCUGGUUUACAACCCUAUUGGAGUACGCCUUACGGAAUCCCAGGAAUCGCGAUAACUCUUCAGGGGUGAGGUCUGCGAAGCUUGUGAUCCCAUGUAUGGCAGUGGGAUCCUGCUUCUUGAGGCUCAUGACAUGCGCAAGAUUUGCUUGAAACACCUUCAGCCGGUGGACAUACUCCUCUGUAGUCCCGUAAACCUUACCAAACUUUUGCAUAAAGUGUUUGAAGUGGCCCUCCACAUCUUUUACUUCUAAAUUGUCUGUCACCUGUCGAAUUUUACCAAUAUCCAAUCUGUUUGAUGAAGAGCAGCAAACCACGAGAAUGAGCAAGCCGACCAAGAUGAUCGCUAGAGCCUUUGCCAUCUUUCCACUUAUUAAUUAGGGCCAGAAACCCUGCACAAUAUAAUAUAGAAGUUCCUUUCCUUUUUGUUACACGCAAAGUAUAUUCUCUUUCAGAAGUGAUCGAGAUUUUGAACGGCUUCUAAGAAAAGUGGAUGCCACGUCACUUUUCUCUUGUCCAGGUACGUGUGUAGAAUGAUGUAUCGGAUCACAAUCCAAUUUUCUCUGAAACUUCAAACAAAUGGUCCUCCGUCAAAUUUUCACUUGAUAAACUUGGAGUAUGUUUCCAUUUCUAUUUCUUUUUUAUCUUCUAACCUUUUUAUGAAAGCAAGGAGAAAAGCCUGGUAGAACCGGUGAGUAAUUUUUUGCAUGAUAAAGUUCCUGAUACAAUAGCAAGCUAGUCGAUCUAAACGCUAUAUUCUAGUAGUGACUUCUCGUUCUCUUACUUUGCUGCAACAAGAGCUGUCGUGAGGAGAUUAGUACACAUUAAGAAUCAAUGCUUUGCAGAUAUUGCGUGGCCCUUUUUCGCCUUGGCAGCAACAUCAGCUCUUGCGCCUUACGAUCAUUCCGACACGCUCAAUUGCGUUGUUAAGCUUCCUCGUUUUUGCGUAAAGUUUAGUGUUUGUCUCCUCUUUUUUACCAGUGCCUUCUUUAUUUGAGCUUGUUUCUUCCUAUAAUUUCUUUCGGUUUUCUUGGAGUUUCAGUUUUGUUCUUUGUUGUUAUUCCUCUCUUGAGACUUGGGAGCUCGUCGUCCUCUUAGUGUGGCUGGUUUUUCUUGAAAAUCCUUGUCCAUUACAUUGUGGACAUUGUCCAGCUUCCUGUUUAGAUGACAAAAAUUUCAAAACGAGCCAAACAUCUCCUGCUCGGUUUUCCAGUCUCCCCAGCUCGCGAAUUAACAGGCGAGCAACUGUUUAUCGGUUUUUUCUCGCUCGAGCCUGAGUAAAAAAGCUUACACGACCAUCAAAGCUUGUUGAAAUUUGCAAUGUAACAACAUGCUCACACACUAGACAAAAAGGCAGGGUAACACUUACCUGACAAUUCAUAAAUCCCUUUACCAUUUCACUAAAUGAAAGAGUUAGUGAGCGAGAUAGUCCAAGCGCUGAGAAAAAGAAAGAGAUUCACUCACCGGUCUAAGCGUUCAAAGCAAGAAGACAUCCCUUAGUAUGAGAUGGGAGUGAGCUUUUGGAGCGGCAGAGCUGGCAAUCUGCUUAGCGUGCAGGAAUCAAUCUAUACCGUGAGGUCGAAAUACAGCCACCCACGAGAGUGCUCCACAAGACCAAGUUCUUUGGAGAGAUGGGCUUCCUCCGCCUCGCCCAUGCUCCCAAACCUUGCCAAGUAAUCCAUCAGCGAGUUGGUCAUGCACACGCGGAAACCUUUUAUUAUAACAAGGCUGGUGAUCCUUAAGGUCGUUCUUUGUUCUAACCGCACUAUAAUAUUUGGAGACAUAUGACAGUUCCAAAGAUCGUGGAGGACAACUUUGAGCUGGUUCUUCUAGUCUAGCCUCUUCACAUGGCGAUCUUCUACAACGAGAAGUACAAAUAGUUAUAGAUAUUGAAUUACAAAUGGAUAGAUACUUCAGCUAAAUACUAUAUAUACAUGGCAUAAAGGUGUUCUUUGCAGGUGGAAAUGGAGUGCCUGGCCAGGAGUUGGGUCAUGAUUUGGAAACAUAGUCGUAUGCUUCUCAGUUGGACAUGACUAUAAUAUAUAUUAGAGGAGGCUGCUCAACACGGGCUCCAUAGUUUAAAUUGUUGGAUUAAAUACCUAUUACCUCUUGAAACUAUACAGAAACAGUAGAGACUCUGGUGUUCAUGCCACAGACACCAAACCCCCGACACAGCCUAAAAUAUCCAUCUUCACCAUAGUUCUAGCUCCAAGAUCCAAUAGGGCUUAUCACCAUGUCUGCCAUAUCCAACAAGGAGCACAGCAUGGUUCAUGUUGUCCCGACCGGGGCAAAUGCGAGGGCAAGAAACUCCACCCACGUAGUCUUUUAUGUAAUCUGCAUUGAGAGCAACUGCAAAAACCACAAACCACAAUGUCUCGUCAACUUUUGCCAAAGAACAACAUGCUACUUACUCGAAAGAGGCCCAUUUUUCACAAGAUGUGCAGCAAUCUGGUUCUCAUCCUCAGACACAGUGGAGUAGUUUGCAAUGAUGGCAGGGCAUCGGUGACCGGGAAACAUAUACUUCCUAUAGCCUUCUUCAUUGUAAGGAUAAUCUUCCUCAGCUUCAAGACCCGUGGCUUUAAUAUACUUGUACGCAUUUAACAUGUCACCGCCUUUGCAGCCACCAUCCUGGUUCCAAGUGGAUAAUCAUGGAUCAGAAUUGCCAUUAUAAUUCAAAUCAAGAAAGAAAUUACCAUGCGAUCACAGUCAAUCAGCUGCUCCUCGUUUAGGCUAAUGAGCUCUCCAGUCUUUAGAAAGUGGGCACCUUCCACUGCUCCUGUGCUGCUAAAAGUCCAGCAAGAGCCGCAACUUCCCUGGAACUUUUAAAGGUGAGACCUUAAGAUCAUCCAGAAAACUAACUUACCUGGUUCUUCACGGGGGUCACUGCACCAUGCUCCCAAACUCUCUGGCAAGUUAUCUGUUGCAAGAAGUGGAACCUGAUCUACAAGCCUAUUGGAAGGUACCCUUGUACGGAAACCCAAAAAACCUGUGGUGUGAGGUCCGAGAAGCGCGUUAUCCCAUGUACCACGGUGGGAUCUUGCUUGUGGUGCCUCAAAGCACGUACAAGGUUUUUCUCAAAGACCUGGAACUUAUACUCUUCAUCUGUCGAGUAAACUUUGUGAAGUGGCUCUCCACGUUCUCCAAUGCUGUUGCGACAUUCACUUCCGCAUGGUCUAUCACUUGUCGGAUUCCAGGCUCAAAAUUGUUGCAAUGGAUUUGGAUAGCAUAUUGCCAAACACUUAGCACAUAAACAUAUAACCGUGAAGAAUAUUCCUCUAAAAAUAUCUCCGCGAAAUGCAAACUAAUCCGUUUUAACAACGCCUAAAAUAUAAAUAAUCCAUUUUAACGAUGCUUAAAGAAAGAUUAAAAUGCAAUAAAGAAUAAGCGUGAAAGCUUGGAAGAUCGAGUGGCUUUCUUCUACGAGCGGUGGACGAUCUCGAGCAGCAUCGCGUCGACUCCUGAUCCAGGCAGUGAUCGCCGUGGAAUGACCGCAAUCUCCCGGCCUGGAACGCGAUCAUCGCCGCGCAAACGCAAGUUCGCAACUUUCCGCAGGCAAAAAGAAUGUUUAUUCAUCGAUCAAACAGCAAAGAACAUUAAUUUCGAAAAGAAUUCAGCUUAGAGGGAUGUAGUGGAGACACGCUCCACCUUCCCCCCGUUGGGAUCAACCACGAACUUGUCACAGACAGGAUUCGCACCAGGGAUCUUCUCGCGCACCACGAUGACAUGGUCGGUCAUCUCGAAUUGACCCCAGGCAGCGACGACCAGAGACGGAGUGCAUGCGCCGAGAAUGGCCUUCAGCUCGCCCUCGCGCAUCCUGUUAAAUCCGCCACAAAUUCCUAAGCAGCAAGAAAGAUUGUAAGAACGAAGAUCAUGCGCGAGAGAGAGAGAGAGAGAAGAGAGAUCUGCAAACAGAAAGAAAGAUACAUGCUCCAGAGAAGAUCUGCAAAACAAACGGAUUGAGCAAGACCGGGGUGGCGCGCGAUCUGCAAAACAAGCAGGACGAGAGACUAUCACCGCGCGCGCGCGAGAGAGAGAGAUAGAGAGAGAUCUGCAAACAGAAAGAUACAUAAAACAAACGGAUUGAGCAAGACCGGGUCGGCGCGCGAUCUGCAAAACAAGCAGGACGAGAGACUAUCACCGCGCGCGCGCGCGAGAGAGAGAGAGAGAGAGAGGGAGAGAGAGAGAGGGAGAGAGAGAGAGGGAGAGAGCCAGAAACGAGUAAGACCCUGGAGCUGCGGAUCACUCACGCCUCCCACUGCCACCAGAGCUUCUCCCGCAAGAGCUGCAAGACAGAAAGUGUGAGAUUGAGAGAGCGGAGAAAGAGAGAGAGGGAGAGAGAGAGUAGCAAACCGUGGAGCUGAGGAUCGCUCACGCCUCCCACUCCCGCCAGAGCUUCUCCCGUCAGAGCUGCAAGAAGAAAGUGUGAGAUUGAGAGAGCCGAGAGAGAGAGAGAGAGAGAGAGAGCGAGAGAGAGGAGAAACCUUUCUCUUGCAUGCUUGCCGCCAUAGCCUAGCCGUAACUGCGUCGGAGGAGAAAGGGCAGUGGUAGCUCGGGCUGGGCUUAGGCCGUGUUUAUAUACACCAUUACAGCUGAAUCCGGACAAACCAGUAGCUUUCGCUCCAUCAUAAUUACUCGUAGAGCGUAGAGAGCGUACUCCAUCCAACGUCAACAUUGGUAAUGUGAGAAACGGCCACACCAUAUGGUUAGCCUAAAGUACCCAUCUUUACCAAAUUCAUCAGUCCAAGAAUUCUUCAUGGUCCAUUCUCUAUGCACAGGGCAAAUGCGCGGGCAAGCAAACACUUGAUUAUUGUGACAAUGGCCCGUUCUUCACCAGAUUUGCAUCUCAGACACCCUUCAGUAGUUUGCAAUGGUGGCAGCCACCUUGCUGGGCUGGUAAACAGUGUCUGUAGCCAAGUUCUUCACAGAGUUGCUGCAGCGAGGACGUAUUAUCCACUGAGAUAAUCUUCCUCAGCUUCCAGACCCCUGGCUUUGACGUGUACUUAGCAUGUCGCCACUCUCGCAGCCGUUAUCCUGGAGAAUAAAGAUCAUAUGAUAUCACUGUAAUCACAAUUUAUCAGCUGGUGGCGAAUGAGAAAGUUGGCGCCUGCAAGACCAGCAGAAGUUUCAGACUUGUUUAAUAAAACCCCAUGAUCAAAUCAACAUGAGCUUAUUGGAGUACGCCUUAUGGAAUUCCAUCGCGGUAACACUUCAGGGGUGAGGUCUGAGAAGCUUGCAUAUACUCCUCUGUAGUCCCGUAAACCUUUAAGUAAUUGUCUGUCACCUGUAGAACUCCUCCAAGAUCCAAUUUAUUUUCUGAAGAGCAACAUAAUAUCCCUUUUUGUUAUUACUCGUAUAUUCUCUUUCAGAAGUGGCUCGUACAACUUUUUCUGUGCUAGACAAGAAUAGCCACAUCACUAUCUGAAUCAGAUGCAAUCACCACCCAGAUCGUCCAGUACAAAGGCUCUAUCAUUGUACCACCGUCUUGGCCAAAAGCUCCUCCAAAAAACUUCGACCCGCUUACUCUAGAAUCCAGAAUCUGGCUUUUGAUUGAAUAAAUGAGAAACCUUGAAGUAUGAUCUGAAAUUUAAAACCUACAUACUAUAAAACAUAGGAAGCACUUACUAUAUACAUGUUUCUUCACAGUCUUCUAGCUUUGAGAGUUGCUCUCAGUGGUUGUUUCAUCACCACAGUAAACUCUUGUAUGGGAGUUAGAUCCACUGCUGUCUCGCCGGGCACUGUGUUCCACUCGAACUCUUGCACGAGACGAGCAAGGACGAGAUGGACGUGGAGAGUCGCUAGGCCGAGCCCGGGACAGAUCCUCCGCCCGGCUCCAAACGGGAUCAAGUUUAGCGCCCCGGACGAGGCCGUGAAGUCGGCACUGGCACCCGGCCCCUCGAGAAACCUCUCGGGCUUGUACUCGUCAGGAUUCGUCCACAGCUCCGGAUCGUUGUUGAUGGCGUAGAUGUUGAAGAGCAGCGUUGCAUGGACCGGGAUAUCGUAGCCUCCGAGCUUGCAAGGCUCGGUCACUGCGUGAGGAAGAGUGGUGUAGCCCGGUGGAUGCUUGCGUAGAGUUUCCUUGACGACGGCCUUGAGGUAGACGAGCUUGUCGAUGUCUUUCUCGGUCACUGGCUUAUCUCCAACGCUGGAAUGGAUCUCCUCCAGGAGCUUCUUCUGGACGGCCGGGUGCUUGAUCACGUUGGCGAGCGACCACUCGAGAGUGUUGGCGGUGGUGUCGGCUCCGGCGUUGAGAAACUCGGAGCACAGCACGAUCAAGUCCUCGUCCGUGAGCUUGAGCUGAUGAUCCUCUUGCCGCUGGAGCGAGAACAGCGAGCUCAGGUAGGAGUUUUGAUCGAGCUUGUCCUCGGCUGCCAGGAGCUUGGCCCUUUGGAUCAGAGGCAGCAGGAGCUCCCUCCUCUCUCCGACGAGUUCCUCCAGCUUCAAAUCCCUCGGCGAUCGCUGGACAAUCUUGAGAAGCGGGACAAAGUCGCUCAUCCUCCCACCGCGUCCAGCACUGGUGAUCAAGUGCCGCAGCAUUCGUUCCACACCAUUCACGGCAUCCUUGUCCAGCCACUGCCCAAAGCACAUGUAGGAAAGAAGCGAGAAGACGGUGAACCUGAGCGUUGCAAGAACCGGUACCGCGCUGCUGUCCGCGCGGCACUCCUUAUCUACCGCGCGGUACACCGGACUAUCCGCGCUGUACUCCUUGUCUACCGUGCGGUACGAUGGGCCGUCCGGGCUGUCCGCCCGUUGUGACGUCUGGCGAAGCUUCUCCACGAGCUCACUGAUAACGCGCUGCCUGGCGGGCUCAAAGGCGUGGACGCGGUGUGGGCUCAAGACGUGGCUUACCAUGUUGCGCCGCACGGUACGCCAGUGAUGACCAUAGGGCGCCGCGUUGAUACUGCGGCGGUAGUUGCUCAGCCGGACCUGCCGCUCGGACAAGGAUGGCCGCGACGAGAAAAUGGAGCCCUUCUCGAUCAGGGCCUCGUGCGCGAGCUGCGAGCUCGAGAUUACCACCAGGGGCACCGAUCCAACGCGAAGUGUCAUGAUCGCGCCGUGCUGCCGGGCCAGAUUUUGGAGAUUCAUGGGGCUCCCCAGCACCGAUCGCAUCUGGAGGAGAUUGCCGAGGAGUGGGAAGCCCCUUGGCCCCGGAGGGAGAUGGGUUCGCCGCCUGGAGAGGAGAAGAAGCGAGGCGGCCAGGAUCGCCACCGCCACAGCCAGGAAUGCCACCAUAGACGCCAUGGUGACAAGAUGCCCUAGCUAAGAACCCUAAAAACAGAGACCAAGAGGGUUUAGGGUUUUAGCGAUGGUCGCUACGCGCUUGCUGCUUCUGGCCAGGAAUUCCUUCGCGGCUAGACGAUCGCUCUGUUGUCACAGGAGUGCCGCAUUCUUGGAGCACGAGAUUUGGGAGAUUUGUAGCCGGCGAAGCUCGGGAUUUCCAUCGCUGCUGCCUUCCAGGUAUUUUGGUAGCAAUGCCGGUGCUGGCAGCGGUAAGGAAGUGGCGAAGGAGGAGAAAUCCGUGAUCCCGGCCGCAGGUAAUUCUCGUGCUUCGAGAAAAGGGGAAGAUCACUCGAAAGCAAAUGAGAAUAUGGAGGACAAGCCAAAGCGAACGAAGAAAGUGGAAGAACCAAAGUUGCCGGCUUCGAGAAAAGGAGAUGUCGAGGAGGUGGCCGAUGGAGCGAAGGCUAAACCCAAGAAAACAAAGGUGGUGGAGACCGAGGCAAAGCUUUUAGCUCCCAGAAAAGAUCUUGGGAGUAACGAAGCGAUCGAAGCCAAACCAAAGCCAAAGCGAUCGAGGAAAGUGAAGGGCGAGGAAGAAAAAGACUCCAGUGUUUCUGGAAAUGGCAAAGAGGUGACUAAAGCGAAGUCGAAAGGGACGAAGAAAGUGCCAGUAGAGGAAGGAAUGGAGUCCGAGCUAUCAGCUCCAGGCCAGAGGAAAACAUCUAAGCCAAGGACACAGUCUGCAAAGAAGGUGGAGGAAACUGUGAAAGAUGUCGGGACAGUUGGUUUAGUAGCAGAGAAUAGUAUGGAGCUGGAAAAGAAAGUUGAGAAGAGACCACCAAAGCCAGGGAGGCAAGCUGCAAAGAAGAUGGAGCUACUGGAUGAAGCUGCGAGGAUUGCCGGGACAGAUGGUUUAGUAGCAGAGAAUCCAUAGAGCUAGAAAUGAAGGAACGGGAUUGGGUCGUGGUGGUAGAAUCAUCGCCGCAAAGUUUGGACGUUAGUUUGGAUACUAGUGGGACUAAAACUCCAGAGUUCGUGGAAAACAAUCUAGAUUCGGAAAUAAGCGUACCACUUGUGGAAGAGUCCGGGGCGUCGCAGCAAGCUUUGGACGAUGCAGCGAAGCCACAGACAACAGAGACUGUGAAGGUUGCUGAGACAGACAACGUGGUUGUAGAAAAAGAUUCAAAGGUGGCAGAACCAUCGCCAGAUCAAGCGAAGACGCAGCAUGAAAAUGUGGUCACAGCGGGAGCAAAACAGGAUGGCUUUCUUGAGGUGGAUGACGAGCUCAAGGAGUUUCUCAUGGACAGAAAGCUACAGCAGGAGCAAGGUGCCGACAACUGUCGCAAGCAUCAAGUGCCUCGGGUACAAGAUUUGAUUCCCGGAGACAGUAGCGAAGGUUAGAGCUGUGGCAGUAGAUUUUCAACAAAUCACCAAGAUCUGUCUCCCUAAUGUGGCUGAGGUGAUCGAUUGUACACAUUUCGAGAUUAUCCUUAUCUGACCAGUUGGCCCAGAUGGUGAGGGCUACUUUGAUCAAAAGCAAUGGUACUCAGUGAUCAUGCAGGGGGUUUAUGAUGCUCAGAAAAGGUUCUUGAGUAUUUAUGCAGUUUAGCCAGGUAAUUACUUUUAAUUUUUUUCUUCUAUACAUUUAAUUGGUUUAUUUUUGUCCUUAUGUUCAUAACAUAAGGGUUUUUCAGAACUCCAAGCUAUGCCACAAGAUCCAAGCAAGGGAAUUACUCACAAUUCCUCAAAAGUUUGUUUUUAACGAGUGGAUUGAGCCAUACCUGGUGGGAGACAAAGGCUAUUAGCUGCAGCAGCACUUAAUGAUCCCUCACUUAGGUAAGUUGAUUGUUUUUUUUUUUUUCAAUUAUUCAUUUGAAACAGAUUCCCAGUUGAUGGUCAGUACAACCAGCAACACCAUCUAGCCCAAAUUGUUAUUGAACAAGCAUUUGGACUCCUAAAAAUGAAAUUCAUAUGCUUAAUAGCAAUCAUUUUUAGUCAAAAGUGCAUUUCGCGGAGAUAUUUUUAGAGGAAUAUUCUUCACGGUUAUAUCCCAAACUAGUAAAAAGUAGAAUAUGGAAGAUCGAGUGGCUCUCUUCUACGAGCGGAGGACGAUCUCGAGCAGCAUCGCGUCAACUCCAUUGCGGAAUUGCGUUUGCGCGGCGAUGAUCGCGUUCCAGGCCGCGGUCAUUCCACGGCCUGGAUCACGCUGCUGCUUUCCAAAGGCAAAAAGAAUGUUUAUUCAUCGAUCAAACAGCAAAGAACAUUCAUUUCGGAAAGAAUUCAGCUUAGAGGGAUGUAGUGGAGACACGCUCCACCUUCCCCCCGUUGGGAUCAACCACGAACUUGUCACAGACACGAUGACAUGGCCGGUCAUCUCGAAUUGACCCCAGGCAGCGACGACCAGAGACGGAGUGCAUGCGCCGAGAAUGGCCUUCAGCUCGCCCUCGCGCAUCCUGUUAAAUCCGCCACAAAUUCCUAAGCAGCAAGAAAGAUUGUAAGAACGAAGAUCAUGCGCGCGAGAGAGAGAGAGAGAGAGAAGAGAGAUCUGCAAACAGAAAGAAAGAUACAUGCUCCAGAGAAGAUAUGCAAAACAAACGAAUUGAGCAAGACCGGGGCGGCGCGCGAUCUGCAAAACAAGCAGGACGAGAGACGCGCGCGCGCGACAGAGAGAGAGAGAUCUGCAAACAGAAAGAAAGAUACAUGCUCCAGAGAAGAUCUGCAAAACAAACGGAUUGAGCAAGACCGGGGCGGCGCGCAAUCUGCAAAACAAGCAGGACGAGAGACUAUCACCGCGCGCGCGCGAGAGAGAGAGAGAGAGAGAGAGAGCAAGACCCUGGAGCUGCAGAUCACUCACGCCUCCCACUGCCACCAGAGCUUCUCCCGCAAGAGCUGCAAGACAGAAAGUGUGAGAUUGAGAAAGCCGAGAAAGAGAGAGAGGGAGAGAGAGUAGCAAACCGUGGAGCUGAGGAUCGCUCACGCCUCCCACUCCCGCCAGAGCUUCUCCCGUCAGAGCUGCAAGAAGAAAGUGUGAGAUUGAGAGAGCCGAGAGAGAGAGAGAGAGAGAGAGAGAGAGGAGAAACCUUUCUCUUGCAUGCUUGCCGCCAUAGCCUAGCCGUAACUGCGUCGGAGGAGAAAGGGCAGUGGUAGCUCGGGCUGGGCUUAGGCCGCGUUUAUAUACACCAUUACAGCUGAAUCUCCAUCAUAAUUACUCGUAGAGCGUAGAGAGCGUACUCCAUCCAUCUGAGAAGAUUCUCACUAAAGUCGUAUAAUAUAUUUUGUAAACCGCUUGAGAUUAUGUCAACGUCAACAUUGGUAAUGUGAGAAACGGACACCACAUCUUUACCAAAUGAUAUGAUAUCAUAUGAUAUCAUUGUAAUCACAAUAUAUCAGCUGGUGGCUAAUGAGAAAGUUGGCGCCUUCCACUACAGCAAGAUCAGCAGAAGUUUCAGUGAUCAAAUCAACAACGGAAUCCCACCGCGAUAACACUUCAGGGGUGAGGUCUGAGAAGCUUGCAUAUACUCCUCUGUAGUCCCGUAAACCUUUAAGUGUUUGAAGUGGCCCUCCACAUCUUGCACUUCUAAAUUGUGUGUCACCUGUAGAACUCCUCCAAGAUCCAAUUUAUUUUCUGAAGAGAAACAAAUCACGAAUAUAAUAUCCCUUUUUGUUAUUACUCGUAUAUUCUCUUUCAGAAGUGGCUCGUACAACUUUUUUCUGUGAAUCAGAUGCAAUCACCACCUAGAUCGUCCAGUACAAAGGCUCUAUCAUUGUAUCACCGUCUUGGCCAAAAGCUCCUAACCUAUCCACACGGCUUGGAAGCUUGCAAAGGCCUGCUUGAUGUCCGGCAGAGGUGAUUUUUAGCUUUUGAUUUAAUGUAAUAUGAAAAUGAGAAACCUUGGAAGUAUGAUACAUACUAUAUGUUCUACUAUAUACAUGUUUCUUCACAGUCUUCUAGCUUUGAGAGUUGCUCUCAGUGGUUGUUUCAUCACCACAGUAAACUCUUGUAUGGGAGUUAGAUCCACUGCUGUCUCGCCGGGCACUGUGUUCCACUCGAACUCUUGCACGAGACGAGCAAGGACGAGAUGGACGUGGAGAGUCGCUAGGCCGAGCCCGGGACAGAUCCUCCGCCCGGCUCCAAACGGGAUCAAGUUUAGCGCCCCGGACGAGGCCGUGAAGUCGGCACUGGCACCCGGCCCCUCAAGAAACCUCUCGGGCUUGUACUCGUCAGGAUUCGUCCACAGCUCCGGAUCGUUGUUGAUGGCGUAGAUGUUGAAGAGCAGCGUUGCAUGGACCGGGAUAUCGUAGCCUCCGAGCUUGCAAGGCUCGGUCACUGCGUGAGGAAGAGUGGUGUAGCCCGGUGGAUGCUUGCGUAGAGUUUCCUUGACGACGGCCUUGAGGUAGACCAGCUUGUCGAUGUCUUUCUCGGUCACUGGCUUAUCUCCAACGCUGGAAUGGAUCUCCUCCAGGAGCUUCUUCUGGACGGCCGGGUGCUUGAUCACGUUGGCGAGCGACCACUCGAGAGUGUUGGCGGUGGUGUCGGCUCCGGCGUUGAGAAACUCGGAGCACAGCACGAUCAAGUCCUCGUCCGUGAGCUUGAGCUGAUGAUCCUCUUGCCGCUGGAGCGAGAACAGCGAGCUCAGGUAGGAGUUUUGAUCGAGCUUGUCCUCGGCUGCCAGGAGCUUGGCCCUCUGGAUCAGAGGCAGCAGGAGCUCCCUCCUCUCUCCGACGAGUUCCUCCAGCUUCAAAUCCCUCGGCGAUCGCUGGACAAUCUUGAGAAGCGGGACAAAGUCGCUCAUCCUCCCACCGCGUCCAGCACUGGUGACCAAGUGCCGCAGCAUUCGUUCCACACCAUUCACGGCAUCCUUGUCCAGCCACUGCCCAAAGCACAUGUAGGAAAGAAGCGAGAAGACGGUGAACCUGAGCGUUGCAAGAACCGGUACCGCGCUGCUGUCCGCGCGGCACUCCUUAUCUACCGCGCGGUACACCGGACUAUCCGCGCUGUACUCCUUGUCUACCGUGCGGUACGACGGGCCGUCCGGGCUGUCCGCGCGUUGUGACGUCUGGCGAAGCUUCUCCACGAGCUCACUGAUAACACGCUGCCUGGCGGGCUCAAAGGCGUGGACGCGGUGUGGGCUCAAGACGUGGCUUACCAUGUUGCGCCGCACGGUACGCCAGUGAUGACCAUAGGGCGCCGCGUUGAUAUUGCGGCGGUAGUUGCUCAGCCGGACCUGCCACAAGGAUGGCCGCGACGAGAAAAUGGACCCCUUCUCGAUCAGGGCCUCGUGCGCGAGCUGCGAGCUCGAGACUACCACCAGGGGCACCGAUCCAACGCGAAGUGUCAUGAUCGCGCCGUGCUGCCGGGCCAGAUUUUGGAGAUUCAUGGGGCUCCCCAGCACCGAUCGCAUCUGGAGGAGAUUGCCGAGGAGUGGGAAACCCCUUGGCCCCGGAGGGAGAUGGGUUCGCCGCCUGGAGAGGAGAAGAAGCGAGGCGGCCAGGAUCGCCACCGCCACAGCCAGGAAUGCCACCAUAAACGCCAUAGUGACAAGAUGCCCUAGCGAGGAACCCUAAAAACAGAGGCCAAGAGGGUUUAGGGUUUUAGCGAUGGUCGCUACGCGCUUGCUGCUUCUGGCCAGGAAUUCCUUCGCGGCUAGACGAUCGCUCUGUUGUCACAGGAGUGCCGCAUUCUUGGAGCACGAGAUUUGGGAGAUUUGUAGCCGGCGAAGCUCGGGAUUUCCAUCGCUGCUGCCUUCCAGGUAUUUUGGUAGCAAUGCCGGUGCUGGCAGCGGUAAGGAAGUGGCGAAGGAGGAGAAAUCCGUGAUCCCGGCCGCAGGUAAUUCUCGUGCUUCGAGAAAAGGGGAAGAUCACUCGAAAGCAAAUGAGAAUAUGGAGGACAAGCCAAAGCGAACGAAGAAAGUGGAAGAACCAAAGUUGCCGGCUUCGAGAAAAGGAGAUGUCGAGGAGGUGGCCGAUGGAGCGAAGGCUAAACCCAAGAAAACGAAGGUGGUGGAGACCGAGGCAAAGCUUUUAGCUCCCAGAAAAGAUCUUGGCAGUAACGAAGCGAUCGAGGGAGCCAAACCAAAGCCAAAGCGAUCGAGAAAAGUGAAGGGCGAGGAAGAAAAAGACUCCAGUGUUUCAGGAAAUGGCAAAGAGGUGACUAAAGCGAAGUCGAAAGGGACGAAGAAAGUGCCAGUAGAGGAAGGAAUGGAGUCCGAGCUAUCAGCUCCAGGCCAGAGGAAAACAUCUAAGUCAAGGACACAGUCUGCAAAGAAGGUGGAGGAAACUGUGAAGGCUGUCGGGACAGUUGGUUUAGUAGCAGAGAAUAGUAUGGAGCUGGAAAAGAAAGUUGAGAAGAGACCACCAAAGCCAGGGAGGCAAGCUGCGAAGAAGAUGGAGCUACUGGAUGAAGCUGCGAGGAUUGCCGGGACAGAUGGUUUAGUAGCAGAGGAUCCAGAGAAAAGUAUAGAGCUAGAAAUGAAGGAACGGGAUCCAGUCGUGGUGGUAGAAUCAUCGCCGCAAAGUUUGGACGUUCAAGGCAAGAGAGAUACUUGUGGGACUAAAACUCCAGAGUUCGUGGAAAACAAUCUAGAUUCGGAAAUAAGCGUACCACUUGUGGAAGAGUCCGGGGCGUCGCAGCAAGCUUCGGACGAUGCAGCGAAGCCAGAGACAACAGAGACUGUGAAGGUUGCUGAGACAGACAACGUGGUUGUAGAAAAAGAUUCAAAGGUGGCAGAACCAUCGCCAGAUCAAGCGAAGACGCAGUAUGAAAAUGUGGUCACAGCGGAAGCAAAACAGGAUGACUUUCUUGAGGUGGAUGACGAGCUCAAGGAGUUUCUCAUGGACAGAAAGCUACAGCAGGAGCAAGUCGAGGAGGACGAGGACGACGAAGACGACCACGACUACGUAUGGGACUACAGGGAUAUCAGGCAGCUGCCAAGCUCUGUGAAGCACCUCGAGAAGAAGCUCAAGGAGCUCUCCAGCACCGCUCCUCCAGACGACCGAAGGAUCGCGGUGGUAAAGCUCAAACUUGGUCAGGAGCUGUGCUCAAGUGAGCACCUGUCGCCACAGAGAGCAGUGGACCUUGCGAACGAAGCUCUCAAAGUUCUCGGGGUUGGCGGCGAUGGUUCCAUCGAGCAGGGAAUGUGCCUCGCGGUACUGGGAGCUGGAUACCGGGGGCUCGAGCAGUACGAGAAGAGUUUCUCUUACCUGAAACGAGCCUCGACGUGUUUCGACGAGAUGAACGAGAAGGGCCAGGAAGUUGUCCGCGAGAUGCAGUUCACUACGAACCAGCUCGGCCUCACGUACUUGUCUCUGGGCCGGAUCAAGCAAGGCGUGGAGUCACUGAUAGAGGCGCUGGAUCUCCAAGAGACGGUGCUACCAUGCGACGAUCCCGACCUCGGCAGCGACUUCCGCAAGGCCGCGGAGCACUUGUGUGACGUAGAGCAGUGGGAGGAGGCCAAGAAGCUGUGCGAGAAAGCCAUUCGUAUCCACAGCAAGAUCAAAGGCUUUGACAACGAGGAAGUUGGCCACGACAGGAAAAUCAUGGCACGGAUUUACAGGGGCUUGAGCCAGCACGAGAAGGCGCUGGAACAGUUUAGAAUCGCGAGGCAGAUCUUCAACGAGGACGAGGAGAACAUCUACUGGGCCAACAUGGGAAUAGCGGACUCGCAGAUGUGCAUGGAGAGCUACAGCGAAGCCAUCGCGACGAUAGAAGGGGCGAUGGAGUCGAUUCCAAAGAAGCCAGUGACUUACAGAGGGACUGCUUAUCUCAAGCUCGCCAAGGCGUUUUAUCUCAAGAAGGACUUUAACGAAGGAAUCAAGAGGUUGAUGGCUGCUCUCGAGUUCUACAAAGCGAACCUUGGUGCCGGCUCCAUGGACGAGACUGCCAGCCAGCUCCACGAGAUCGCGGCGCUGUUUGACGCGAUGGGAGACGUCAAAGGCUCCAUCAGGACGCUGAAGAUCGCCAUCGCCGCCUACGACUGCGUCCCUGGAGCGGAGAAGCUGGUGAUGAACGCAAAGAUGGACCUUGGCUCGCAGCUUAUACGGCACAAGAAGCCCGAGAGCGCGCUGCGUUACUACGAGGAGGCCAUGGAGCUGUCCAGGAAGCUCGGGUUGCCGAGCCUCAACCUUCUCACCUUGACGGGGAUAGCACACAUGGAACUCUCGAAUCACCAGGCCGCGAUGGAGGUGCUGCAAGAUGCUAAAGCUUUGCUCGAGAGCCCGGAACAGAUGAAGCGCUCGGACCUGUCCAAGAAGAUUUGCUUCCCGAAGCUCCCCGUGUAUCACAACUUGGUCACGUGCUACCAGCAUUUCGAAAGGUAUGUCUUGCUUUUCUCGCUUUCUAUCGUUCUUUUCCAUCUUUGCUAAUGCUCGAGCGAUCGCUUUGCGCAGAUAUGACGACGCUCUCGACUGCCAGAAGCUUUUGGUGGCGGAGCUGCGCAUCGCGGGACGCGAAGCCGAGGAAAAGCUCCCCGACGCGACGCGAGUGCUCGAGGAACUCAUGGAGAGGAGCAGCAAACUCCCCGUCCAAGCUCAAGCGUGACUCUCGGGUACCUUGUCAUCUUUUCACGAUCACGAGAAGUUGAUAAAUAGAUAGAGAUGGUUUUAAAAGCUUCGUGUGGAUUUCUUACUGUUUUCUUCCAUCGCGAAUGCAGGCUUGAGUCUCGGGAGUCGUACCAACAAGCGCAAAAGUCCGUACGGGGGAGUUUACAUUGUGGAAGAUCCUUUGAGCAAAGAAACGAGGCGUUUUGGCACGUUAUAGCGAUUCCAGGUGGGCUUUUUGCUGUUUGGAUCACGCAUCUGGCUAGAGCGAGAGCUUGUGGGUCACAGGGUAGAGAGAGAGAGGAGGGAGGCUUUCCUUUUAGGGAAGUGGAAAGAAGUGAGAGCCAAGAAAUGGCGAGCUCCAGGAGCAAGAUUCCGGCUUACACGCCGGCGCUCGUCAUCGGCUUGGUGGUGGUGGCGCUCUUGGGUUUCCAGACGCUCCGGGAACGCAAUUCCACCAGUGCUGCGCUAUACCAGAAGGAGAGCGAGAUCGUCAAGCUCCAUCUAGAGCUCCAAGUAAGUGGUCUUUCUUUCUUUCGCUCUAUCUUCUUUUAAGGACUUGAUUAGUCGUCGAGGACGAACUUACACGAGUUUUUUCUUUUCCUUUUGCUCUUGGCAGGAGGUUCUCAAGUCGUCCGAGCAGCUGCAAAGAACAGUGUCUAGCCUCCGAGCCGAGAAGAGCAAGCUUGCGACUGAUACCAGUAGCUUGAACUCGCAGCUGGCCCAGCUCGAGAAGUACCGGGGUUCCACCGAGGACAGGAAGAGGAACUUGGAGGAGACCGUGCAAAGCAAGGAGGAGGAGAUCGAGGAGCUCAAGGAGCAGUUGGGGAAGAUGCAGCACAGCGCCGAGGAGCUGCGGGAGCUCAAGCAGCAGAUUCGUGAGCUCGAGGAGAAGCUAAAGUUGGCUCAAACGGGUGGUGGCGCUGGGGUGAAAAAACCGGAAGCGAAGGAAUUCGUGUCGGGUCUGGAGGAUGAGGAUCCCAAGGCCCGAAACUCGACGGCUCUGGAAGACGAGAAAGAAGACGAGGAGGCGAGGACGACUGAGGAGUCUUCCAAAGAUGAAGAGGCGAGUGAUGAUUCAAAAGAGGGGGACGAGAAGAAUUUGGAGGAAGGAGUCGAAGAGGACAACGAGCAGGAUAAGUUGGACGAAGAUAGCAAGUCUGCGGAGUUGGAUCUGGAAGAAGGAAGUUUGGGUGGAGAUAACAACCAGGAGGCCGCAGAAUAGUUUGUUUGUUGGAAAAAGUUCCAACUCGAGAGCUUAGCUUCUCUUUUACCUUGAAGUUUGUAAAGAGUUUUUGCGUGUUUUAAGAAGCUACACUUUGGCCGAUGAUGUCUGAGAAGGAGAAGUCGUGGAAUGGCAAACCUGAGAAAAUAAGACAAAGGAGCUUGAAACUUUUCUGAAAAGACGAGCUAAACCGAAUCUUACCUUCUCGUUCGUCGAGGAGAUAAAACGGGAUGUUGGCGACUGCCAGUGUUUGAGCUUUGCUCCAUUCCACCGUUCCAGGCCUGUGCUGGCCACCCAAGAUUGACGAGCAAAUCGCGUGGUCGUGCAUCAGACCGAGGUAGUCACGAGCUCUUCUCCAGACGAUCUUAUCGAGUAGCUGAUGUGAUCGUGCCACCUUCGAAGCAAUCAAGAACAGCAACUUAAACUUCCUCAGAGAAGCAAAAAAAAAAAAAAAAAACAAACCUUGGCAAGGCACACUCGAGCUCUAGGCGAGAGCUCUCGAUGGCACGUUGCAAGCUUUGCUAUGGCGGUUAUGACAAAACAUAGCAGCCGGGACUGGGCCGGGACGGCAGAAGUUUUACGCCUGGAUGUUUGUAAAAGAUUAGACACAACGUAAGCUGUGAAAAACUUCAAUUACCUUGACGAGAGGUUUUCGUAGAGAACCAGCUCCAGAGUUUCAAAGAGCUCUCUUGCAGCAUCCUUGAAAUGCGUACCACCACCUCCAUGUUCUCCAAUCGCCCAGCAUAGUUGCAAAGCAAGCUCAGUCUAGCAAAUGCAAUGUAAGUUUAGCGCUCAAACAUUGAGAAAUCCAUCUUACUUUGCCGUCACUUGUUUGAGGUUGACUGACGCUGUCCGUGAUGGGCUUCUGCGAUGUUUUUACUUCUUUUGGAAUAACGAUUUCAAAUAGAUAAGAAAGGCUUACCUUCAAAAGAGCAAUGAAUUGAGGAGAUUUCUUAAAGCAAGCGUGCAUAAACUGAAAACACGUUUGUUGGACCUGAUUUAAGACACGAGUCAGCUUAUGAGUAAACUAAUCUUGCUUACCUCGAUUGAAAAUGCCUUAUCCGGAAACAUGGCAUCGAUUCUGAAGAAAACCAUAGGUAAAAGAGCGCAGAGUAGUGCUAAACAUACAAAGAGCAGCGGAUUAAAUGCAAAAACCAAAGGCUUGGAACUUACAAUCGCUCACGUCUCGCAAUGCGACGUCGAAAUAGACUUGCAAAAGCUGCGGGCUAAAUUUCAGAGCAUGUUUAAGCUUGUUGGAUUGUACAGACCCCAUUGCUGCUUCCAACGUGGCCUUCAUUCCAGGAUACGACCAAUGACGUUCCUGCAAGAUGAACCUUCUUAUCCUCAAAGCAAUAUAGUCACUUCUUGUUACCGCUAAGCCUUCGUUUUCAUCUUUCAAGAGGUCCGAAAACAGAUCAUCUGCUUCGUAAUGCGAGUUUCUUCCAGAGCCUUCUUUGCUGGAAUCAUCGCCCCCAUCAAUGAAGGUUCCUGUGUAAGCUUCAUCCAUCAAUGCCAGAAGUGCCUGAGAAACGAAUAAACAAAUCGCACAGCUUAAUGAGCAUGUAUAUCACCUCGGGUGCCGGGUUUUUUCGAAUGUUUCCCAUGUUUCCGUGCAGAGAUCCAGUGCGUUGUUCUAGACUCUCCAGAGCCAGGACCAAAGCUGCAUAAAAACUUCACACGCUUCAACUUCAGAAAUCGAGUCAUAGCUCGGAGAUACUCACUCGGCAGGUCCAGAAGAGCCAAGAACAGCUGCAAAAAUGACGGCGGCCCCAUGAGCGCGGGAAACAGCUGCAAAAAUGGUGUGUCGAGGCUAUAAAGCAACAGAAAAUCAGGAGAUGGAGAUAAACUACCGCGAGAAAAAAUUCACUCACGUUUCAUCUCCCCAAGCAAUCACCUUGAGGAGCAAAGGAAAGAACUGCGCAUUCAAAACCAUAGCACAUGAGAUAAAUGCGACAGCAAUGAAAGUUCGAUACCAACCUGAGGAAGAACACUCGAAUAAGAAAGCAAAAACUUCAUCUUGUUGUGAUUUAGGAAAGUCACAGUCGCAGCUGCUACAGCAGGAUCUGCAUAUUGCCUGGAAAAAAACAAAAAUGCUCGUCAAAUAAAAGAAAAGAAAGAAGAAUGAAAGAAAGAACAAAGAAACUUUAGCACUUACUUGACGAGGCAUGAGCGAAAAAAAGCUCGCAAACUUGGAUCCGCAUCGUGAAGAACAGUCUCUCCAUGAUCCAGAAAAAACUGUAGUAUAGCCUGUUGUGUGCAAGAAAAUAAAACGCUAAGAACUUUCCCAACCAAAAAAUUCCAAGCUCGUACCAGCGCAACUAGAGCGGUGCUGGGACGUUGUGUCGACGAAGAACAGCAUCGCUGGAAGAGCUUCGUCAUGGCGGGAUAAACUCUCGUCACCAAAUCCUCGUUCCCUUCACUCUUACACAUCGCAUUGAGCCUUUCCACCUGAGAAACAGAAACACCCCAUCUCCUCUUUAGAAAUCACAGCAAAAGAAAAAUCCAGCUCGUUACUAACCGCAUCGCGAACCGAGGUGUCGGCCGUGUCGAUCGCCGAGGAAUCGCGGCCAGCACCGAGCGAGAGAAUCCGGAGACAAAUCGCCCACUCCCUCUCCUCCAUAUCUCCUCAAUGCAAGAGAUUUUAGGGCUCCACGCGAAGCUUUUUAAAGAUUUUUAAACUGUUAAUCAGUGCGCGAAUCUUCGAGUCCAUUCCAUGGCGGAUUUGUCGUGGAGGUGACGAUCGGACAAAUAUUCGUGGGCGAUACUUCCCACCAAAGGAUCGACUGCAAGGAAGAAAAAAAAAAGAAAAGAAAUAAGUUCAAGAAAAACGAAGAGAAAACUCACAAGGAUCUGGCUCGCCCAGCAAUGCACAAAUCGAAACAAGAACUUUGGAGAUUGUAAGAGCUGGACUCCAAUUCUCCUCGAGAAUUUUCAGGAAGAUCUGUCCGCUGGGAUGAAUGUUGCAGUGAUAGAUUCGCGUUCUAAACACCACCUACAUUUUUCCAGCGAGAGAUAGGAUCAUCGAAUUUUUCCUCCUUUCCACAUUACCUUGGGAGGCUUGAAUGGAUAAUCGCUGGGGAAGCUAAUGUCGAUGAAAAAAAUCCCACCUUGAUAAGGCGAUCCUGCGACAAGAAGAAGAUUUCCUUCAAAAGAUGAAAGCAUUUGCUUGAUCUACGAAGUGUACCAGAAGGACCAACGAUUGUGGAGACCCACUCGUAGAGAUUAUCGCCCUUUGGACCGGCAGAGCAAUUCUCCGGUGGAUCAGCGCUAAUUUCUGCGAGCUCCUUCUGGAUCCGCUUGGCAGAGGCGGUGAGCGAAGUAGUGGAGUUCCAAGGCCGCCCCGCCGUGCCACUGCCUGUUGCCGCGCUGGCGCUCAUCCCCAAACCCCUGUUUCUAUGAAGAACCCUAAAAGUGUAAACUGAAGAACCCUAAAAAUUUGAUUAAAGGUUUCAUCAGCAAAGCUCACAAACCUUUGCAUUUUUCAUCCAUCAUUCUCAUGCUUCAAGUUGGGCACUGCAAGACUAUCAAAAUAGCAUAUAGAGGAUAAAUUCUUUUUUUGAAAUUUGAGAGAUCAAGAUUCUUGUGUGAUUUGGUAGGGACCAAAGAACAUGUUAUGUUUGUGUGCUACAUCAUGUUUGGGUCCUUGUUUCUACAGGCAAGGGAAAAGGGUGGAUGCAACAUAGCCAUCAGCAUUGUGAGGAGAGCAAAUAAAUUAUAACAUUUUUGAAGAAAUUUGGGAGGUCCUCUUCUGUCUGUGUGGGAGACACAAGACCAUCCAUCUAAAAUACCUGGAAACAAAUUUGACAUCCCUCCCUCCACUUCUUGCUUUUGAACAUGGCUAGCACAAUUUUUAUGAUAAAGGGAUUGAUCCAACCCUUUCAACAAACGCAUUUGUUUUCUCUCAUUCUUUUAUUUUUUAUUUUGACCAUUGGCCUAUCAACUCCCUCCCUUUUCUUGGGCCACUUGAAGGACCAAACUCCCUCAUUGUUGUGAUAGUGUUCUCUUGGUUCCAUGUACUAGAGAUUUCUCUCCUUUUUAUUUCUGCUCCUUUUUCUGAUUAUUUUAGGAUUAAAUUGCCUUUCCUCGUGAGGUGAGGCGAUCCAUCGCCAGCUAGUGUACAGACAAAUCAAAUAAAAAAGCUCAUCCAAUUUGAUAGAUAUACGUAUAUAUAUGCAAUUAUAAAUACUAUUAAGAAAUACCCGAAUUUAUGAAUUACAUAUGCCUGAGUUCCUGCAAGCAUUCUUUUCCAAGUGAAAACGACACUACCGUGCUUAUUUUUUGUAUAAAUCGAUCAAAACGCACACCGAGCAGCGAGCCAACUUUAUGGUUUUUAUCAAAAUCCGAGGUGAUCGAGAGGAUCACUUUCACUUCACGGAGACGAAGUUAGGGAAGGACUCGAUCCAGGAUCUGACGCCCAAUUUAAAACGCUGAGGCCCAUGCUACCGCAAUUCGUACGCUCUACGUAUAACUCCUUUCUAUAUGUUUCUUAGCAGGGGUUCCUUGUUUCCCAAGAGAGGCGUAAGAUUAGACACGGGGUCGCCAUCUAUCCAAUCUCUUCCGGCCACCGCGCUGGCAUUUUCAUGGAAUACUCUAUCGCCAUUGUCUUCAUAAAAGCUUGUUUUUGAGAUCUCAAUCUCAGGAAAUUGAUGGGAUUGGAUUGAAUUGAUUGAUUGGUGCAAGAUGUUUUGAUUGCUGGGUUGUGCUCCUCCUCUACUUUUGGUUCUUUUUCUUUUGUUCUCCCUGUGUGUUAGGUCUUAGUUUCCUCCUCCUCAGCUUUUGAGUCCUCCUUCCACUCGCUGAAAUUCAGACAAGUAUCCAGAUUAUUUCGUGAAAUUCUCAAAGGAGAAGAUCAAGGAGGGUCGCUGUCCUAGGAAAUAUAGAAAGAAUAAGAAAGAGAGAGAUUCUGUCUCACUCCAUCUCUCUGGUGGUAUUCAAGCUGGCAUUCAUGUUGUAGGUGGUAGACAUUUCAACUGUUUUUACCAAGCAUACUCAAAAGGGGUUUAAAACGGCGUCAAAGUCUUUUUCCGGUAAAAAGAUGACAUGUAUUUCCCACGUAUUCUUGUGGCGUACAAAUACACGUCAACAUAUGCGCAGCCGAGUUGGUGAAAGAUCGGGAUGGGACAUCGUUCCCUCCCCACUAACUAACUUAAGACCCUUUAGCGAAAACAAAAGGUGGCGGAGUGUAAAGAAAGGUGGUAAACUCAGUGGACUAUGAGAGGCUACUUGCUGGGUUCAGAAAAAAGAAUUGCACCACCUUUUGCCCCUCCCCAUGUGCAUGCGUUCAGAGGAUCAAAGCUAAGGAUCCAAAGACCCGAAAGCGCUAGGGUUUGAGGAUUUUACAGUGACAUUCCAACCUAUGUGCACCAGCCACCACCGCCACCUUCCAAAAGAAAGAAACAACAAGUUGGCGGCGCAAAAGAAGAAAAAAGGGGGGAAUUUAACGUAAAGGGUGGAAUGAAACAGAGCGUUAACGGGAUAUGUAGCUCGCUUUCUAGGGUUUGUUUGUUAGUUUGUUUGCCUGGCAGCCAUUUUCUUUUUCUUUACAUUUUAUUGUAAAAAUACAUUUUACUAUUAUGAUCGUGAAAUAAAGAAAUAUUUGCUGGAAGUUUGUGCGUGUUGAGAGAGGGUAAAAAAUCAUCAGAUGUUCUUGUCGUUGAUGUUGGGGUGUUGGGAAGCAUGCAUGUUGGAUUCGCCCGUUUGAAUCCAACGGAGGGUUUUGUGUCUUUAUUUUAUGUUUUCCAAGACUUUUCAAUCUUUUUUCCUGUUGUGUCACGGUUUUUGAUCAAAGGAAAGCAGAGCUUACGAGAGCAUUCAUUUUCAUAGUUUUUUUGCAUUCCAUUCGAUGCAUUCCAAAAACCCUGUCCCCCUUUCGAGGUAAAGAACAAACAAAGAGAAGCAACAAAAACAACGCGGUGGGUGUUGGUGGCCUCUCGACGUCGAUGGCUUCUUCGACCUUCAAACUUGCAAGAAGAAAAAAAUCAACAGUAAAUUGCUUUUCCUUUUCUUUCCAGCUUUCUUUUCUAGCUUUUCCUAUAUGGUGGUGUUGGUCCUCCAAAGUCCUUCACCACAUUCAAGGCAGAGUAUCGAGAAGGAAAAAAAAAAUGCAGCAGGAGGAGAAGAUGGUGACGAUGACGAACUUCUUCUUCUUCUUGGCGAUGGUGACCAAUACGAGCGAGUACUCUUGCCUUAACACCCGUUAAGCUGGAUCCAUCCGUGCGUUUAAAGCUGAGAUUUGUGGGGCAUGGAGUGCGAGUACUCGAAGAUCUCCCUGGAUUUGUAACCAUCUCAGACAAAUCUCCUCGAUAAAAAUCACACUUUUCUCUGUGUUCCAUCUCACCAAGUUGGCACAAACACCAUUUCUUUUUUGUUAGGUCAAAGGCAAGAGGCAAUGAGAAGCGCAGCGAUGCUCGUCUUGUUGGGUGGAGCUGGCAUGGAUUCCCAAGCAACUUUCGGUGCUCCAUAGGUAAAGCUCUCAUCUUUUCCUCCAUAGUUUUGCCCAGCAGCAGUGUGGAAAUGCGGGCUUAGCUUAGUGCUCAUCACAAAGCCCCUCUUUCUCUUUGAGUUUGUGUAAGUUCCUGUUAGCACUAUAACUCCACGAACAAAGCAAGCAAGCCACUGUGUCUCCGUGUGUGUCUUUGUGUCUUUGUGUCUGUGGUUUGAAAGCGAGACUUGAUCUUCCUCCAGCUUUUUUUUUUCUUUGAGUUGAGGGAACUUUGGUUUUCUCUUUUUGUGUAUGUGUGUAGCGGCUAGGAUUGACAAAUUCCCUUCACCAAAUCCCUGGCACCCUGCCGCUCUGCUGGUUUGUUGGGUGCCCUUUCGUUCUCACCAGUUUUUAGAGCGUCUAUGAGAGAGAGAGGAGUUCUCCCUCGUCAUGGAGGACGGCGAGCAAAGCUUGCGAGCUUAAAACUGUGUUACGAGGGGUGAGAGCCGUCAUAUCCAUCGCCACCGGCCUCUUUUGCCCUCUUGCUGUCUUCUAAGACGCUCUCUCUUUCCUCUCUCUCUCUUUCUCUUUGCAUAUAAGCCCAGCUUCUUUCCAUUCCAACCUUGCAACUCAAAAACUCAGGGAGAGAGAACAAGAGGACGGAGAAGUUUUUGUGUUUCGGUUUCUUCUCUUCGAUUUCGUGAGAGGCACGGAGGUAACUUUUCUUCUUUAGCUUCUUGGUUUCGACAAGUCCCUGUUUCUAGCAUGAGUAGUGUCUGUGUCUCUGUUCUUCUCGGGAUGAUAUGAUCCAAUUUGGAGUUUUUUUUCUUUCUUUCAAGUCGAGCGUGUUCUUGUAAACAUUCCGUGCAAUCUUUCAUACUCUUUUUCUUGGUUCCUUGCAGCAGGCAGGCACGCUGGUAGAAUGUUCCUUAGUGAAAACUAAAUUCAUUCGCAACUGAACCGAGCUUGGGAGAAUUCAUGAUGACAGCUUGCAAGCAUUUGCUCUAGAGGAGGAGCUCUCAAAGUACUUCCCAAAGGCCAUCAUUUUGUUUUUUUUGGUUCCCUUUGGCUUUGGAGCAAGCCAGAUCGCCGCUCGCUCGCAAUGGCCGCUCUCAAAUUGGAAAAUGUGGGGAAGAAAGCUGCUUGGGUGUAUCCGGAAGUCCAAGGUGCAAAUCCUCCCGAGAGAUGGGGACACUCAGCUUGCUUCUCUCAAGGAAUGCUCUACGUUUUCGGGGUAAGUCACAGUUUUCUCUUCGUUUUUUUUUCUUUCGUUGCUGAAUUCGAGUUCUCACUGCUCACUUCUCGCUCAUCCAAAAAGAACUCGUUUUUUUAUCCAUCCAGCUCAAACUCACUAGACUUGUUCCGAAUUCCACCACUAGAGGAGCUGUUUUACUUUGUCCUUGCGUUCUUUUUUUCUUCCUCCAGCCGAAUCAAAAUUCGAAAUCUCAGUGCUUGCUUGCUUGCUCAUAUUUCGCUCUAAAAACGCGAUUUUUUUCUUCGUUUCUAACAUAAUUUACGUGCUUUUCUUUGACAGGGAUGCCGAGGAGGCCUACAUUUCAGUGACGUGAUGAGCCUCGACUUGACGACCAUGUCCUGGAGCUCUUUCGCUUGCACUGGCCAGCAGCCCGGCACCCGAGACAGCCACUCGGCCGUCCUCCACGGCCGCAAGAUGGUCAUCUUUGGCGGCACCAAUGGCUCCAACAAGAUCAACGACGUCCAUAUCCUCGACCUCGACACGCACGUCUGGUCGUGUCCCACGGUCGAAGGCCAGGCGCCUCCUCCUCGGGAAAGCCACAGCGCCACGCUCGUCGAUGGCAACAGGGUGGUCAUCUUUGGCGGAACUGGCGAAGGCGAUGGAAACUAUCUCAACGACAUCCACAUCCUGGAGCUGGACAGGAUGCGCUGGGUUUCUCCGGCGGUGAACGGUGAGCUCCCGGUUUGUAGAGACAGCCACACCGCGGUGGCUGUCAAGGACCAGCUUGUUGUCUACGGUGGUGACUGUGGCGAUCGCUAUCUCAGUGAAGUUGAUGUCUUCAAUCUCAAAACCUUCACGUGGUCAAAGGUAAUGCGCUUGUUUUGCUCGUCGACAAUGACGGAAAAAUCGUUUUUUUUUUUUUUUUUGAUUUUUGGCUCAGAUAGAUACUGCUGGAUCUCUACAGCCGGCUGUUCGAGCAGGCCAUGUAGCUGUUGCUGCAGAGAACAAGGUAGGAUUCUUGUGAUUUCCUUGCUUUGUUUUUGUUGCUCUUCCUUGUUCUUACGAGAUGGAGGUGACAGGUUUAUGUAUUCGGAGGCGUUGGAGACAGAGCUUACUACAACGAUGUUUGGGUUUUGGAUCUUAGCUCUUGGAAGUGGUCGCAGGCUGAAGUUGCCGGACUCCAGCCGCAAGGACGUUUCUCUCACGUCGCUGUUCUGAGAGACGAUGAUAUUGCGAUUUAUGGAGGGUACGUGUUUCUGUCUAGCGUUCUUUGGUCUAACCAAAGGAUUGGUUUUUUAUAUGUAGAUGUGGUGAAGAUGAGAGACCUCUAGACGAGGUUCUAGUCCUCCACCUUGGAAUCGAGCAACUCAAUCCUGAUUUUCCCAAAUGCAAGUUCAUCCAGACUGUCUACGACAUGGAGCGGCGAAAGCCUUCGGUGGAAGUUAUCAACGACGAUGGUCUCUGCGAUAGCGAGACCAAAGUCUCCAAAAAGGAUCUAAACCUCGUAAGAAUGGCUCUUCUCUUUCUCAUUACAAACGCUGAGAGAUUGUUCGUUUUUCACAGAACAAGACAACUUCUUUGCCCCCGUGCAAAGAAGAUUUUCUCAACCUCUCCAGCCCGAAGGUCCAAGGAGGUGGCUUCCCAUUUCCUCGGAGCCUCAACGACAUGGCUGAUAAAUCCGGAGGAGCUUCAAGUAUGAGGGCCAGAGCAAGAAAGUUGCCGUUCCAGUACAUGGAGCAUCUCACCAGCCUUGAAAGUAAGUAAACUUCUUCUAUGUUCACAACUUUGGUUUCUUACAAACAUCGGUCUCCACCAGAUGGUUUUCACGCGAAGAAGCGAAAAACAACAAAUCUCAUGGGAAGAAUGGAGGGCGGUGUCGAGUCGGAGCAAGACGAAGCAUCACCGACGAUGUCACAGCAUCCAUCUCCAACGCUGUCGGACCAAGAUAAAGCUUGUCCAGCGGUGAUGGCGAAGCCAUCGACGAGGCCACCAGCGAUCUUUCUCCAGCACCAGCAGCAGCAGCAGCAACAAGAUCACCACAAUCAAGCUCACAAGAAUCACCACCACCAAGACCAGCAGCAACAACACACUGUAAGGUUUCCAACUUUGCAGCUCCAGCUCCAUCUCCCCGGCCACCCCCAGACAAUCUCUCUCCCGGUUCACGAGUCAUCUCACUUGCAACAGUCGUCCCAUCAUCUCGCCGAGCAUUUCACGCAAAAGUCCAUGCAGCACCUUCAGCAGCAGCAGCAGCAAUCCAGUGACAAAGUUCCGAGAACCGCGACCGUGGGAGUGCCUAACAUCGUAAGUUACCACACCCCUUUCAUCAAAAUCCAGUUUUUCUUCGUUUGCUUGCAUCAAAAUCCACUUUUAUUCGUUUGCUUGCAUCAAACUCCAUUUUUCUUCGUUUGCUUGCAUCAAAGGCAAGUUUUUCAUUGGUUUUCGCAAAGUAUCAACCAAGCCCGGUUGUUUUUUUCGUGUUUUUCUUGCAGGUGGGAUCCGAAGUACGAGGAAUCGUCGACGGUGCAUUCGAUUCUGGUUAUCUUAUGACUGCUCAAAUCAAUGGACAAGUCUUUCGUGGCGUUUUGUUCUGUCCUGUAAGUUCUUCCAAACCAUUGUUCUUCGUUCUUUCUUUGUUCUCGAGUUUUUCUCACCAAGAUCAUCACUGUGUCACGCAGGGUCCAAGCCAUGCUGCCGUCCAUCGACCACCGCUCUGCAAUUCCCACCCAAAGCCAAGCUCUUCCACAAUCGUGAUGGCGGCUCCCCAGAGCGCAAGCUCCACCCCUCCAAGCCCGGUAAGCGCCACUCUCGUCGGCUACCCCGUCCAUUUCUCCAACGCAGUCGCGGUGGACUCGCCCAAUCGGCCCAAUUUCUCGGAGCCGCCCAAGAGCUUCCACCAUCCUCCUCCUCCCGACACAUCGCUAUCAGUCCGCCCCGUCCAGAUCAUGGGCGGCUUCCCAGCGAUCGUGGGCAAUCAAUCCGGGCGAUGGGUGUGGCAGCCAGGAUUCCCUCCCCAGCAGCAGCCGGAGAAUGGAUCGAAUUUGAGCAUCAUCUCAGUCCCAGUUGCAGUCCCAGUUCCAGCAGCCUCCCCCAAUGUCCCGCCCUUCCCCAGCAAUCUCGUAACAAAGAACCCCGCGGCCCGCGAGCCCGAUUCGUCGCAGCCGGCCGUGACGCUCAGCCUGGGCCAGUCGACGCACGCGCACAAGAUCUAGGCAGGUCCCCUGUUUCUAGGGUUCUUGGGCAGAGUCCCCUGUUUUUAGGAUUCUUGGACCAGUCCCCUGUUUUUAAGGGUUACUGGGUAAGGUCAAAAUUAGGGCAAAGGUGGGACCCAUUGGACCAGGACUGGUGGAAAGUUCCACAUGUCAGAAAAACAAAAUGGUAGUCAAUGGCGCGCUUUGACAUUUCUUUCGGCUUUGUUGACUUGGGCUUGUUUUUCCACGCUUCUCUCUCCCACGUGUCACGCCGGUAUUCGCAAAGCCCCCAUUUUAAUGUGAGGUUUUACCCUGCGCGUGGGUUGUUGUUUGGCAGAAAAUGCGGGCAGUGGAGUGAGGGUCAAGGCGCCGCGUUUACUUCGCUCUUCCUCUCCUAGGUCGGGAUUGCCCCUCGCCUCGCCCCAAGAUCUCUGCGCGAGAGAGGAUCGCGGGACUGGCGCGCGGAUCCGCGGCUGGAGUUUGGGAUUCUUGGCGAUUCUUGGCGAUUUCUCGGCGGUUCUUGGCGGUUCUUAGCGAUCCCUGGUGGAUAAUCUCUCUCCGGUGAGUGAUCCUUGUGAUCUAGGCCGCGGUAGCUCGAUAUUUCGGUGUGUGCUGAGAGAUCUGGAGUGUUCUCGCCUGGCGUGUGUGUUUUGGGGGAUUCUUGGCGUGUUCUUGGUCUUCUCUCUCGGAUGUUUCCUCGCAUUCUUGGGGAUUUCGAAGCGCCGGAAAUUUCUAUAGCUUUUGGAUGCUUGUUGACAUUCCUGGGUUGGAAGUCUUGGCGAUUAAGUCCACUUAUUAACUUAAAUUCCUUGCAGAAACCAUGGAUGUGGAUGUUUUACACUAUGGAGGCGGCAGCCAUAGCCAUACCAGGGAUCACUAUGUCCAAGUAGCGGCAAAAGCUGGCCUGGAGAACGUCCAUCGAUUGAUCGACAUUCUUUCCAGAGACAAGCCUCCGGUGUUACAGGAAGACAGCAGCCUCGCAGCGUCCUCGGCAAUGUUGCAGUUCAAAAAGGUGAAUUCGCUCUUGAGUCGGACUGGGCACGCUCGUUUCAGGAAAGGGCCAACACAACCCAACGUAAUGACCACCUCGGUUUUCCUGGUGAAUCACUCCUCCAAGGACGAGCAGCAGGAGAGCAUUCAGAAACUCGCCAAAGAAGAGCCAGCAGCUGGGACGGAGCUCGCUCUUGGAUCGAUGUGCUUCAGCUCCGAUAAUUCCAUGAGCUCCAGCCCGCCACCUUCGUCGUCCAGAUCGUUCAUCUCGUCCCUGAGCCUCGAGGGGAGCGUCACAAACGGCGGGCUCUUCGAGAACAGCGUCACCAAUGGGACCAUUUUCAAGCCGGUUCCUCCCAAGAGCAGCCAUCCCGUUGAAAAAUGCUCGGCCGCGAGCAUUCUCGACAAGUGUCGAAGCGUUGGCAAGUGCCAUUGCUUCAAGCGCACCAGGUCAGUAGCAUCUCUCAAAAAGUCCACUCUCCGUAGAAAAAAAAAAUGUUUUUAGGUGGUGGCAGAGUUGACUAACGCACAUCUCUUGCUCGUGCUUCCAGAAAGCUUAGAGUCAAGCGAGUGAUCAGCGUGCCUGCCGUCAGCAACAAGAUCGCUGACAUUCCCCAGGACGAGUACUCUUGGAGAAAAUAUGGUCAGAAGCCGAUCAAAGGCUCUCCACAUCCAAGGUAAGCGGACGAGAUUCUCUCGUUUUCUCUUUUCCUUUAGUGAAGAACAAGUAUAAACAAGCUUCUUGCAGGGGCUACUACAAAUGCAGCAGCUUGAGAGGCUGUCCCGCGAGAAAGCACGUAGAGCGGUGCCUGGACGAUCCGACAAUGCUGCGUGUGACUUACGAGGGAGAGCACAGUCAUGGCGUGCAACCGCGGUAGACUUUUGCUAAUUGCUUUUUUUCGUUCUUCUCGGAAGCGAGCUUCACUUGGUUGAGUUCUCUUCUGGGAUGUACAUAACAUACAAAUCAACUUAUUGGCCACAGCAUUUACAGCGAAAAACUUACAACACCAUUCUAAAUGAAUUAGAAUCUGAGCGACGCUUCUAUCAGCAGUAACUCGCGAUUGGAAUGCCACCAGCGGCAACUCCAUCGCCAUCUUCCAGAUGAUGCAGCAUUUCUCCGGACGAGAUCACAUUCACGGGAAUUCUCUCGUCGUGCACCGCUUGGAUGACUUCGCUGCGAUCUUGCAGCACUCAUGGUGAUGCUCACUACACCGAGAUAGCAGCGGAUCGAGCAGCGAUGCUAGACUCAACUCUUAAGCGAUGCCUCGUCAGGCAUCACACCGCAGAGAAGCGUCUCGUGGUAAAGGCCUCGAAGCCGUCAGCUUGGACCGUAGCAUUCCACGAAACAAUAUCCCCCUUUGGAAGAGAUUCGAACAUCUCACGUGCUUUUCCAUGAAUCCUUGACCUGGCCAUCCAGCCAUGGAGCUGCACCAUACAUUUGGUGCUAUCAGUGAGUUCCAGGCAAAGGUGCAGUUAAUCCUUCAUUGAUUUUUAAAAUAAUGAACAACAAGUUCCUACUUUUGGACUAAAAAUCGCAAUCUGAGUGGAAUCAGUGCAAAAUAAUCAAGUCCAAGCUUAUAUCUUUUAAGCUAAAUCCCUAAGAGAAAUUUAGAUUGCAAGUAUAUAUGACUGCCACACUUCCCGUAGAAGUCUAUCAGCGCGUUGGCCACAAACGUAUCACUCUCGGCACGGUGUCUACGAAGAAAAAACAGAAGUCUUCCGAAAAUACUGCAUUCGUUUCCCAUAUACUCCAUCCUUAUUAUUCUUGUAUUGCUGCCAUGGAAACGUCUCUUUGGGAACACACGACCACAACCUGUAGCUUGAUCUCUUCAACACAGCAUCCACCAUUUCUAAGCCACUCGCUUUAAAGACUUUAAAGCCGUGUUUUCCAUCCAGUCUCGAAAAGAUCUGAAUCAAAAAUGUCUUCAUCCAUACCAGAAUCAAUGCUUGGAAAGACUUCAGAAGUUGGGUUCACGUACUUGCCCAUACCCAUCUUUGCUCACCAGCAGAACUUGCCUCUAGCAUGAUAUGAGGUCCAAUAUGAUGGGAAGUCUCAGCACCAGAGGUUCCGUCACCGUAAACUUGCUUGAUAAUAAAAUCACCACCCUUCAACUGCAGCCUAUGCUCAUAAAGCUUCCACCCAAGAGCAGCUGAAUGUUUCUUUCAGGAAUUCCACCACACGUACAGCUCCAGCAAGCAUAUACUGAUUCCCAAGCAAAGCCUCACUUGCAAACUGAAAUUUCUUGUCGCUGUGGUCCUCAGUUGCCACGAUGUGCAGAAUGGUGUCGCUGACUUUUUUCACGUUGCCUCCUGACAAAAUCGUAGCCGCUUUGGAUGCACAUGAUCCAAAUCAACCGCAGCUUUGGCCCUGGCCUUCCCCUCAUCCAGCUUUGUUGCACGCAGUAGAUACCUAGGAACUCCACCCAAAUAAUCGAAGUUGUCAAGCCCUUUCUCUCUGUCCACCACAUUCAUGCUCCCGUAACUAGCUCGGUAAGGCUCAAAGUCGUCAAGGAAUUUCCCAAUCUCCUCCCUGGACCACACCGGCAUAUAAAGCGUGCAACAAAGCCCCCCCCCCCCUCCCCCUCAUCAUAGUUUUUCUCCUUAGAUGAGCAAACCAAAAGAACUUGACAGCUGCGAAGUAAAGGCGUCUUCUGCUUCCCAUCUAUCACUAGCCACAUCGACGGAUCGUCCAGCAUUUUGCGUAUAAUUGUGUCAUUCACGUGAUAACCACCUUCAGCACACUGCCUUCCAAAAUUCAGGAUGUAAACAACCUCGCCAACCUUGUAUAACACCUUUUCAUGCCCCAUUUAGCCCAGCCUAACCAAGCAGGUGCCAAGCAGAUGGCCGUGAAUUCAAUUACAACCACAAGCCAGACACAAGCACCCAAGACCAAAUCCAACAGCGACACUAUCAGAAGCAAGACCUUGCUGAUUUCAUGGCGCACUAAAACAAAGGGCUUUCGCAAUUGCUUACCAGAUCCGGCGACUGCAACAUAGGAAACGUGUAAGAAUAUUUUGAAACGGACAACUGCAGAGCACAGGCUUACCAGUCAGGAAAUUUUUCACCAGGAGCGCAACAAUGGCCAUUCGACCAGGUAGAACUUUUUCCAUAUCCUGCUCCGCGGCCUCAAAAGACUCUGUAUCAGUAAACCCAUUCUCGGCG